UGGGUGCGGCACCGUGACGUCAGGUAAGACUAAACUUGACUGACAGUUACAAAAUAAAACGAUCGAUCAUUUUUUCUUUCUUUUUAUCGAUUAGUUUUCUAACUGUGGCCAGUCAUACGUACUCGUCCGAUCAGCGAUUCCGUGCGGUUCACAAACCUUAUUUCGGAGAGCAGCCGCCGUCAGCGUCGCAUUCCGGGCCAUCGGGUUCGGGCGGCAGCAACGGCGGCAGCAGUAAACCGUUUCAGCAAGUCCAGCACCUCAAAAGUGACGAUCUGGAGAGUCUGACAGACACUUACUCCGAUUGGGGCUUGGAAAUACACUCGAGCCAGCCGCGUGACAGCGGCAUCUACGAAUGUCAGAUCAGUACGACGCCGCAUCACAGCCUCUUUGUGCAUCUCAGAGUAGUCGGUAAGUGAUUGUUACAACUGUCACUCACCUCUCCCUUAUCCACUUGGGGGCGGCGAUUUACUCCGGCACAAUUCAAUGAAACGUUCCGGCUCGUCAGCUACUUUGCAAAACCGAGCCAUUCAACCCUCGACUUCAAUUUCUAGUUUGGCCGUCUCCGUGACCAGCGGUGCGAGUAAGUCGCCCACCCAACAACAAAGUGAUUGGAACCAGAAAUUUUUCGGAAGCAAGCAGAACAAAGGUGAGAUCGAGUCAUUGACCGUUCAGCUUGCUUGCUUCAUUCUUUCCUCCUUCCCUGCCUAUCGCCGUAAAGAACUAAAAACUUGGGUGUUUUGGAGCUUAAUUAAUUGAAUGCUGGGUGUGCGCUUUUUUUUUUUUUUUAAUUAGUCUCUCCAUCCAAAUAGUAGUCCAUCUGGUUUGUCGUUUUUUUUUUCACUCGUUUCUGCUUUGUGGAUGUCUAUUCCGAUCUUUAAUUAGUGCUUAGUGCAUUCAUGCAUUGCUAAUGUUUACGCCAGCCGUCAGUAAACGACUCAGCGGUGGUCAAACAUUUCUUUCUUGUUUUCGUCUCGUUCGUCUUGUUUUGUUCACAUGUCUUUGCUUCUUUAAGAUAUCCCUGAAAUAAUAAUUAUUCUUCGGAAGAUCCAAUCAUGGUUAAAGCAAGAAACAGUUCUGCUGAAGUCAGAAUCAUCUGAGGGGGAAAAAACUGAAAUGCAAAACUUGCAUUAAUUGCAUCUCAUUAAUUUAAAAUGAUAAACUCACUGUCAACAGUAGUAGCAGCACCAGUACAUUGGAACUUUAAAGCUAGAUAGAGAAAAAGCGGAUUUCAAAUAUUUUUUUACUCCCGCACAGCCUGUGCUCUAGCAAGCAAUCCUGUCAUAAAAAUUACCAACUAAGACUGGAAAGGAAAUUUUACAAUAGGGCCCACAUGCGGUAGCGUCACCUACUAGAGGUAGAAGGGAGGUAUGAGGGUAGUCACCAUUACUUUCAAAAUGGCACCUAUUCAUAGACGUCUUCUAUGACAGUUGGGCAUUAGUGCAGUUCCCGAUGAACAAAAUGCUCGUUAUUUCCUUGUUGUGGUUGCAGGUCUGUAAACUUAAAUAGUAACCUUAAAAUGUCAUUCUGGUCCGAAGAAUGGAAUGGACGCAACUGGAACUAUCGAGUUAUAUCUGCGCCCAACCCACCGUCCGGCUGUUUCUUUGACGACUGCUGAUCUUCAACUUUAAGGUAGGACAUCUCUUACGCAACGAACUUACUACUAUUUUCAAGCAGUUAUUUAGUAUAUAUGAUUUGUAACUGUGUCUCUUGUAAUUUGAUUCAGCCUGGAUUUAAGCUGGUAUCAACGGAGCUGCUUUUGAAGCUUCCAUUACUGGAGGUUUUACUACAGCGAUCGCCUGUCUGCAAGCAACUGACUAAAGAAUCAAAUGGGACCCUUGACAGCGUGUUGUAGAGUCCAGAUGGCUGCUUUUUACGCAUGAACUGCUCCAAAAACCAACGUUGUCAUCUGAUAUGUUUGUAGCGGCUUCUUAAUUCCAAAUUCACGAAAAAUGAAUCGCUGAAGAGAUUGAUGCUUACUCGGGACAUUGAUUCGAUGGUAAAAGGCUGACAUAUCAGCGGAGAGUGCAAAAGAGCACUCCCUUGAUCUCAAAGAAUUCGUACUAGCUUUGGGAGCAACGGCGGCCCACGGAAAAGUUGGGUGUUGAGCACAAAUUAUCAAGAACACAUUGCUCAACAUAUCCCAAGUCUGGUUCCCAGUCAUCCCAAUCAGUGGCUCUGUUAACAAAACAUUUUUUGUUAUUUAUAAAUAAAUAGCAAAUAUGAUG